UCUGGCGGCAGUAGCGCGGUGGUCCCACCUGACCCCAUGCCGAACUCAGAAGUGAAACGCCGUAGCGCCGAUGGUAGUGUGGGGAGACCCCACAC
rnacentral:rRNA from 1 species